UUUGUAGCAGAGGUUCCAACGACAUGUCUUCACCUAAACAACAUGUAUUAUAGCAGAGGUUCUAACGACAUGUCUUCACCUAAACAACAUGUAUUAUAGCAGAGGUUCUAACGACAUGUCUUCACCUAAACAACAUGUAUUAUAGCAGAGGUUCCAACGACAUGUCUUCACCUAAACAACAUGUAUUAUAGCAGAGGUUCUAACGACAUGUCUUCACCUAAACAACAUGUAUUAUAGCAGAGGUUCUAACGACAUGUCUUCACCUAAACAACAUGUAUUAUAGCAGAGGUUCUAACGACAUGUCUUCACCUAAACAACAUGUAUUAUAGCAGAGGUUCUAACGACAUGUCUUCACCUAAACAACAUGUAUUAUAGCAGAGGUUCUAACGACAUGUCUUCACCUAAACAACAUGUAUUAUAGCAGAGGUUCUAACGACAUGUCUUCACCUAAACAACAUGUAUUAUAGCAGAGGUUCUAACGACAUGUCUUCACCUAAACAACAUGUAUUAUAGCAGAGGUUCUAACGACAUGUCUUCACCUAAACAACAUGUAUUAUAGCAGAGGUUCUAACGACAUGUCUUCACCUAAACAACAUGUAUUAUAGCAGAGGUUCUAACGACAUGUCUUCACCUAAACAACAUGUAUUAUAGCAGAGGUUCUAACGACAUGUCUUCACCUAAACAACAUGUAUUAUAGCAGAGGUUCUAACGACAUGUCUUCACCUAAACAACAUGUAUUAUAGCAGAGGUUCUAACGACAUGUCUUCACCUAAACAACAUGUAUUAUAGCAGAGGUUCCAACGACAUGUCUUCACCUAAACAACAUGUAUUAUAGCAGAGGUUCUAACGACAUGUCUUCACCUAAACAACAUGUAUUAUAGCAGAGGUUCUAACGACAUGUCUUCACCUAAACAACAUGUAUUAUAGCAGAGGUUCUAACGACAUGUCUUCACCUAAACAACAUGUAUUAUAGCAGAGGUUCUAACGACAUGUCUUCACCUAAACAACAUGUAUUAUAGCAGAGGUUCUAACGACAUGUCUUCACCUAAACAACAUGUAUUAUAGCAGAGGUUCUAACGACAUGUCUUCACCUAAACAACAUGUAUUAUAGCAGAGGUUCUAACGACAUGUCUUCACCUAAACAACAUGUAUUAUAGCAGAGGUUCUAACGACAUGUCUUCACCUAAACAACAUGUAUUAUAGCAGAGGUUCUAACGACAUGUCUUCACCUAAACAACAUGUAUUAUAGCAGAGGUUCUAACGACAUGUCUUCACCUAAACAACAUGUAUUAUAGCAGAGGUUCUAACGACAUGUCUUCACCUAAACAACAUGUAUUAUAGCAGAGGUUCUAACGACAUGUCUUCACCUAAACAACAUGUAUUAUAGCAGAGGUUCCAACGACAUGUCUUCACCUAAACAACAUGUAUUAUAGCAGAGGUUCUAACGACAUGUCUUCACCUAAACAACAUGUAUUAUAGCAGAGGUUCUAACGACAUGUCUUCACCUAAACAACAUGUAUUAUAGC